UACAGAGGUGGCAAGCGUUGUUCGGAAUUACUGGGCGUAAAGGGCGCGUAGGCGGCCUUCUAAGUCAGACGUGAAAUCCCCAGGCUUAACCGGGGAACUGCGUCUGAUACUGGAUGGCUAGAGGUUGGGAGAGGGAUGCGGAAUUCCAGGUGUAGCGGUGAAAUGCGUAGAUAUCUGGAGGAACACCGGUGGCGAAGGCGGCAUCCUGGACCAAUUCUGACGCUGAUGAGCGAAAGCCAGGGGAGCAAACGGG
rnacentral:rRNA from 1 species